rnacentral:tRNA from 1 species
UUUUUUAGUUUAAAAAAAAAAUAAUAUUUUUGUAAGAUAUAGAUAUAUUUUAAAAUAUAAAAAGAAU